UUGCUAUGAUGAUUGAUAAAAUUUUUGAAUAUAUUAUGAAACGUCGACAACCAUGUCGAUCUGAGCGGUUACCUGAGCAA
rnacentral:snoRNA from 1 species